ACGGAAACAUGUCUAGCUUGCUAGAUGAUGUCGAGUGGCGGACGGGUGAGUAAUGCUUGGGAACUUGCCUUUGCGAGGGGGAUAACAGUUGGAAACGACUGCUAAUACCGCAUAAUGUCUUCGGACCAAACGGGGCUUCGGCUCCGGCGCAAAGAGAGGCCCAAGUGAGAUUAGCUAGUUGGUGAGGUAAAGGCUCACCAAGGCAACGAUCUCUAGCUGUUCUGAGAGGAAGAUCAGCCACACUGGGACUGAGACACGGCCCAGACUCCUACGGGAGGCAGCAGUGGGGAAUAUUGCACAAUGGGCGAAAGCCUGAUGCAGCCAUGCCGCGUGUGUGAAGAAGGCCUUCGGGUUGUAAAGCACUUUCAGCGAGGAGGAAAGGGUAACGAUUAAUACUCGUUAUCUGUGACGUUACUCGCAGAAGAAGCACCGGCUAACUUCGUGCCAGCAGCCGCGGUAAUACGAGGGGUGCAAGCGUUAAUCGGAAUUACUGGGCGUAAAGCGUGCGUAGGCGGUUUGUUAAGCAAGAUGUGAAAGCCCCGGGCUCAACCUGGGAACUGCAUUUUGAACUGACAGGCUAGAGUACUGUAGAGGGUGGUGGAAUUUCCAGUGUAGCGG
rnacentral:rRNA from 1 species